UCGAAUAAACUUGGUUGGGUUGCUGCUGGCUCUCAGGAGCAUGUGCACGCUCAAUUGAUUUUAACCACCUGUGCACAUACUGUAGACCUGAAUGAACUUUGUCGAGGAAACUCGGUUUGAGAACUGCUGGUGAACAAUCAGCUGUACUUGCAUUCCAGGUCUAUGUUUUCAAUACACUCCAUAAAAAGUAAUAGAAUGUUAGUCAUUGGCCUUCUGUGCCUUUUAAACCUAAUACAACUUUCAACAACGGAUCUCUUGGCUCUCGCAUCGAUGAAGAACGCAGCGAAAUGCGAUAAGUAAUGUGAAUUGCAGAAUUCAGUGAAUCAUCGAAUCUUUGAACGCACCUUGCGCUCCUUGGUAUUCCGAGGAGCAUGCCUGUUUGAGUGUCAUGAAAUUCUCAACCUUUCUGGCUUUUUUAAUGGGGCUGGUCGGGCUUGGAUUGUGGGAGUUGCUGGCUUCUUUUUGAGAUCAGCUCUUCUUAAAUGUAUUAGCAAAAUUCUAGCUGGACCAUCAUUGGUAUGAUAAUUAUCUAUACCAUUGAGAACACAGCUUUUCACUUUAGUGGAUUUCAGGCUCUGCUUGGAUUUAUCUCCAAGUGUUCGAUUCAACCGCUCUGAAGCACCAGCUUAGGCACAGGCGUUAACUCGUUUGAUGGUGUUGAAUACUUCAGGUUGACGAAGCGAGGUGUUCCCUAGGGAGCGCUCACGAGAGCAAGCAAGUGUCAGACUCUGAUGCGUGCACUGUCAUAUUCCUGUACCUGCCCUAGCUACUACGUGGCUUUGAUGGGUCUGGUCAAACCAUGACCUGAACAUAUCCAUAGUGGUGGAAGGAUCUUGCUUCUAAUACUAUUGUUUUUAGGAACAACAUUUUGACAAU
rnacentral:misc_RNA from 1 species